rnacentral:rRNA from 1 species
UACGUAGGGUGCGAGCGUUGUCCGGAAUUAUUGGGCGUAAAGGGCUCGUAGGCGGUUUGUCGCGUCGGGAGUGAAAACACCGGGCUUAACUCGGUGCUUGCUUUCGAUACGGGCAGACUAGAGGCAUGCAGGGGAGAACGGAAUUCCUGGUGUAGCGGUGAAAUGCGCAGAUAUCAGGAAGAACACCCGUGGCGAAGGCGGCUCUCUGGGACGGUACUGACGCUGAGACGCGAAAGCGUGGGGAGCGAACAGG